UACGUAGGGUGCGAGCGUUAAUCGGAAUUAUUGGGCGUAAAGCGUCCGCAGGUGGUUGUUCAAGUCUGCUGUUAAAGCGCAGGGCUUAACUCUGUAACGGCGGUGGAAACUGAGCGACUGGAGUAUGGUAGGGGUAGCGGGAAUUCCCAGUGUAGCGGUGAAAUGCGUAGAUAUUGGGAAGAACACCAGCGGCGAAAGCGCGCUACUGGGCCAUUACUGACACUCAUGGACGAAAGCUAGGGGAGCGAAAGGG
rnacentral:rRNA from 1 species